CGAUGCGUGGCUCAGCUUGGUAGAGCGCGGCGUUCGGGACGCCGAGGUCGCAGGUUCGAAUCCUGUCGCAUCGAUCA
rnacentral:tRNA from 1 species